UCAGACCAAGAAAAAAUAGUUGGUAAAAGAGAGAUCAUGACGUACUUGUCAUCAUGGACAUGAACUCCCCACUCUUCAUCAUGGAAAACAAUGUAAGAUCUGUCUUUAACAUGAAACAAACCCAAAAACACCAUCGGGUCUAGUCAUAACAAAGGAAAAGAUUCAAGGCGAAAUAAAGUUAAGGACUAAGUCCAUCAAUGUAGAGAAAUGACAAAUGAAUAAUCAUGUUUUUAUGGUCAUCGUACAUUAGAGAUCAUGUGAUCA
rnacentral:lncRNA from 1 species